rnacentral:rRNA from 1 species
UACGUAGGGAGCAAGCGUUGUCCGGAAUCAUUGGGCGUAAAGCGCGCGCAGGCGGCGGUGCUGGCCCGGCGUGAAAGCCCCCGGCUCAACCGGGGAGGGUCGUCGGGGACCGCACCGCUUGAGGGCGGUAGGGGCUGGUGGAAUGCCUGGUGUAGUGGUGAAAUGCGUAGAGAUCAGGCGGAACACCCGUGGCGAAGGCGGCCAGCUGGGCCGUCCCUGACGCUGAGGCGCGAAGGCGUGGGGAGCAAACAGG